GGGGCACAAUCUGUAGCCAGUAAAAGAUGGCUUGUUUGCUCCUCUUUGAAAAAGCCAGUCAGUAGGCUGCAACUGUUUGCAGCUCAGCAGAGGUUUUCCAUGCUGGUGGAAGUCACAUGAGCAGCAUCCGUGAGGAGAGGGAACAGCUGAGGAGCAGACAAUUGACCUUAAUGACCUAUCCUUUCACCUGUGGUUGUGCGCUUUACUGGGUUUGAAGGAGUUACCAGAGCAUUUGGAACUAUGCUGUAAUCCAGGCCGCUCUGUGGGGAUAUCCACGACCACCGGACCCUAAAAAGCAGCUUCUGCCCAGAUACUUAAGACCCCUGUUUCCGAGAACUGAUGACCUUUGAAGAUGUACUGGUGAAUGCAAAAAAGCUGUGUUGCCGGAAGAUGAAGCUGACUUGUACCUUGGCACAGAGCUCAUGGCCUCUGUAACCAGGAAGAUUUGGCUACAUGGAGAGACAGUGCCACCUUGGGAAUAUGUGGAGAGGAUGUGUACAGUGUGAAAGGAGACAUAAGAGAAGAUCACAGUGCUGUGCUUGAGGCUAUGAGAUGGACUCUUUGUUAUUCCAGCAGGAUUAGGCCUAUAUUCAUAUGACAGGAAAGGACCACUGAGUGAGUUCCUAGCUCUAAAAAGAGGAGGCCAGAGAGAAGUCUAAAUGAAAACCUGAAGAGCUUUCCCCACAGAAAGCAGACUUCAGUCUUGUCAGUUGUUUCAUGACAUAGCUCCCUACGCAGUGGAACACAUUAAAACAAAAGUCGAGCUUAUCGAUCUUUCAUGAGCGGGACUGGUAAGAACGUUUGUCUUGCAUGUUAUGCAAAAGGACACAGCUGCAGAGUGAUUCUGUGCUGAAUCAGAGGGAAGGGCAUCACUUGCCGAAUCACCCCUACCACUUCCCUGAAGCACCUGCCGGUUGCCCAGCCGUGUAUUGAAGAAGCAUAGGCCUGCUUAGCUUGCGAGAAGCACACCUCAACGUGGAACCCGUGCAGGAGUCCGCUGUUGCAGUUGGGAAAAGGGGUUCAAAGUCCUCUAAAGCAAUCGGAGGCAAACUGAGCAUGAGGAGCACAACGAACUGGAGGUAGCGACCCCAGUGAUGAACUGGAAGUGAAUGCAUUUGCUUGUUAAGUUUACACGGCCACGUCUGGCAGCAGUCUACUCCCUGGAGACUGGAUUUCCCCAGCCCUGCUGAGAGCAUCCCAAGUUCCAUGCAAAUCAAGAAACCAGCAAUGGGAGAUCAGAGACAAAAAUCUAUAACCCAUCAUCCAAAGAAUAAGAAGCGUUGGUAGGAUUGAACCUUUGAUUUCUGAAGACUAGCCCUUUAGACAGAGGUCUACGCCUGAGAGUGACAAGACAGCACAGAGCUAUCAGAGGUACAGACAUUUUUUUAUUUUUAUUUGGUGGGGUUUGAGUGUAAAAAAAAAAAAAAAAAAAAAAAAAAAAAUACAAUAGUAGUUGAAUACCACAUUAAUGAGUAGUUUUAUACCACAGUUAAAUUUGUCUGUUUUUAAUACAGUGGGAGAAAGAAGCAUCUGUUCUAAACUCAGUGUUCCCAUUAUUUAUUAAUGCAGUUCCGAAAUUUUGAAUCGGCUAAAGCCCCCGUAAGCACUUGUCUACGGCCACGGAGACAAGUGGAAGCAUUUAUUAUUUGUAUUACUCCAGCACCGAGUGACCCCGUUGGAGAGGAGGGGGCCUGUUGUGCUAAAUGCUGUACAUCAUGCGGUGAGACAGUCGCUGCCCCAAAGAGCUCACAGUCUGAACAGACAAGGCAAAUGAAAGGCAGGAAAAAGAAUGUGCUGUUAUCCCCAUUUUACAGGUGGGGAACCAAGUUGUACAGCGAUGA